UCCCUGGUGGCUCAGAUGGUAAAGAAUCUGCCUGCAAUGCAGGAGACCUAGGUUUGAUCCCUGGGUUGGGAA
rnacentral:tRNA from 1 species